rnacentral:ncRNA from 1 species
CAAGAGCUUGGUCCUGACUCUGCUAUCAACUUUAGCUAAACUUACACAUGCAAGUAUCCGCGCCCCUGUGAGAAUGCCCUAUAGUCCUCCUCCCGAGAACAAGGAGCUGGCAUCAGGCACAUUAUUCAGCCCAAGACGCCUUGCUUAGCCACACCCCCAAGGGAACUCAGCAGUGAUAAACAUUAAGCCAUAAGUGCAAACUUGACUUAGUUAAAGCUAAGAGGGCCGGUAAAACUCGUGCCAGCCACCGCGGUUAUACGAGAGGCCCGAGUUGAUAGGUACCGGCGUAAAAGGUGGUUAAGUCAAAAUAAAACUAAAGCCAAACGUCUCCAAGGCUGUUAUACGCAUACGGAGAUAAGAAGAACAACCACGAAAGUGGCUUUAUUUAUCCUGAACCCACGAAAGCUAAGAUACAAACUGGGAUUAGAUACCCCACUAUGCCUAGCCUUAAACACAGGUAGAGUCUUACAAUUUCUACCCGCCCGGGUACUACGAGCAUCAGCUUAAAACCCAAAGGACUUGGCGGUGCUUUAGAUCCACCUAGAGGAGCCUGUUCUAGAACCGAUAACCCCCGUUAAACCUAACCUUCUUUUGUUAAUUCCGCCUAUAUACCACCGUCGUCAGCUUACCCCUGAGGGAAUGAUAGUAAGCAAAAUUGGUAAAGCCUCAAACGUCAGGUCGAGGUGUAGCGUAUAAGUAGGGAAGAAAUGGGCUACAUUCGCUAUUAUAGCGAACACGAAUGAUGUUCUGAAACGCACAUCUGAAGGAGGAUUUAGCAGUAAGUGAAAAGUAGAGAGUUUUACUGAAAUUGGCCCUGAAGCGCGUACACAUCGCCCGUCACUCUCCCCAAGCCUAAAGAUAAAAUUACAUAAAAAAUAAUAAUUGCAAAGGGGAGGCAAGUCGUAACAUAGUAAGUGUACCGGAAGGUGUACUUGGCAAAC